AUCAAUUCACAUUCGGUACAUACGUGAAACACUAUCAAACAGAUUUCGUUAGCUUUACAUGCAAAAGCACGAAUAACUACUUCUCAUUCAAACUAUGCGGAAGCAUGGCAAACAAGCUUCAACUCCAAGUAAAGCGCGUCUGUUACGUCACUGAGGCAACACACGGACACGGUAAUUAGCCAGCAUACCAAAAUUAAUAACCACGCAGCCAGCGUAAAUCGGUACUGAUUGGUUGCAAACGGUGAAGGGGGACGAAUGAAUUUAACUACUAAAGUUCUUUCCACAGCCUGUGAGAAGAUGAACAAGGUCAACUACUGCUACGAGAACCAGAUGUGUUUACAAGAUGUGCUGUGCGCGCAUUGCU